CACAGAACUUUCCAGAGAUGGAUUGGUGCCUUCGGGAACUGUGAGACAGGUGCUGCAUGGCUGUCGCCAGCUCGUGUUGUGAAAUGUUGGGUUAAGUCCCGCAACGAGCGCAACCCUUAUCCUUUGUUGCCAGCGGUCCGGCCGGGGACUCAAAGGAGACUGCCAGUGAUAAACUGGAGGAAGGUGGGGAUGACGUCAAGUCAUCGUGGCCCUUACGACCAGGGCUACACACGUGCUACAAUGGCGCAUACAAAGAGAAGCGACCUCGCGAGAGCAAGCGGACCUCAUAAAGUGCGUCGUAGUCCGGAUUGGAGUCUGCAACUCGACUCCAUGAAGUCGGAAUCGCUAGUAAUCGUGGAUCAGAAUGCCACGGUGAAUACGUUCCCGGGCCUUGUACACACCGCCCGUCACACCAUGGGAGUGGGUUGCAAAAGAAGUAGGUAGCUUAACCUUCGGGAGGGCGCUUACCACUUUGUGAUUCAUGACUGGGGUGAAGUCGUAACAAGGUAACCGUAGGGGA
rnacentral:rRNA from 1 species